ACUUUUAACAAUGGAUCUCUUGGCUCUCACAUCGAUGAAGAACACAGUGAAAUGUGAUAAGUAAUGUGAAUUGCAGAAUUCAGUGAAUCAUCGAAUUUUUGAACGCAUAUUGCGCCUUUUGGCUAUUCCAAAAGGUACACCUGUUUGAGAGUA
rnacentral:rRNA from 1 species